AUUGUAGAAAAGAGAGAAUCCAAUCGAUGACUACAGCACCGAGUCUUCCUCUUCUAUCGGUGACUACAAAGCCGAGUCUACAUCUUCUUGCGAUUCGCCGUGUUUCUUCAUCUUGCUGCAAUUUGUACACCCUAAAAUAGAGAGGUACGUCAAUUCCAGAUUUGCUUCAGUUUAGGGUUUUUUCUUCUCUCAAAAUAAUUGUAGUACCUGUCGAUUUCUCAUUAUUUUGGUUUCAAUUCUUGGAUAUUUUCAACUAAAUAUUCUUUUCCUUCUUCCUGUGUGUACAAUUCUAUUUUUUAGUUGGUGGAAUCUCCCAAAAACCAGAAAAUUCGCACCGAAAUAGGAAACUGGCGACCUGAGGUGUGUGGAUUUAGUAUUUGCUUCAGUUUAGUGUUAUUUCUUGCUUCAUUUUUAACUUUUUCCUUUUUUGAAAUAUUCGUGUGGCCUCGUGUUCACACUACAAAUGAUUCAAACUGGUUAUGCAUUUUUCAUUCUAGAAAGUCUCCUUUCCACACUCACUGUUGAAUUUCAUCUCACACACGCUAGACUUUUGCUUUUGAGUCUCUCCCAAUUCUUUGAUAUCUUAGUUUGCUCUCCAUUUCCUAAGACUUUUACCUUUCCCAAUUUUUUUUCACAUCUUGCCUCCUCAGUUAUCAUUGAUGCCAAUGUAAACUGUAAAUAUGUUCUUUUUCAGCAAUUGCAUCCAUUAAUAUUAUCCUAACUUUGAACUGAAAUUUUCGUUUCUUCUUAUGUGUAUAGUGUCCAAUGUGUUCUCUGGUCGAUUAAAUCGAUGACUACAGUGUUGCAUUUUACCUUAGGUAAGUUGUUCGUGAUUUGUGUUUUUUAUUCCUCACUCUAUCUCCGAUCAGUUUUUGUUGAUUUUCUUCGGUUUCGUGUUGUGAAGUUUACGGGUGUGGUUAAAAGGUAAGCUGUUCUUUUCUCUUUUUGUUUAUAACAUGAAUCCUAUAAAUCUAAAUUUCUUCCAUAAUGUUUAUUUAGAUCUUCUGUGAAAAUUGUUAUCUUGUUCAUGUUCUAAAGUUUUUGUACCUUUUUUACUUCUCUUGGAACAUAAAUUGUAGCACCGUACCUUUUUAAAUUUUGAAAGUUAUAUGUUGUUCUUUAGAGGUUUAAAUUUUUAUUUUUAUUUUUUUUCCCUAGAAUCUGGAUUUGUAGUAAUGACUUGUUUGUUUAUUAAUUAUUAAUUCUAAGUACAAGAGUGUAAUCCAUGAGUUUGAUCCAUAUUUUAAUUAAAGAGACACCAAGGCAUGUUCUAACUCAUUGGAUUUUCUAGAACUGCAGAAUUUAAUUAUUUUACUCUUGUAAUCUUUGCUUAAGAAUUUCAUGACAAAUAUAUGUUCAUCUAUUUUCUGUUCUAUAAACAAUAAUUACAUGUAUUAUACUAUGGGAUACACACAUGGUGAAAAAGAGUUCUUCCAUUUAAACAGAUAGAGUAUAUAUUAUAGCCUAUUACAGAUUCUGUCAACACCAAUGGGUGAAAUUUUAAAUGUAAUAUAAAACAAAUGUCUAAUUCUUGCACCGUGCAAGAAAUUGAAUCAACUACUAAAGGAUUUAACCACUAAAGUGUGUGAAUUUGCGGGAGAUUAUAUUUUUAUUUUAUUUUUAUCUAGAGAGAGAAAAUACUCUUAGGAUUAAAGGAAAGCUAGAAACAUAUGUGGUCACUUCCCUUCCAAAAGAGGAAACGUAUGGUCACUUUUAACAAUUGCUGAAGUAGGUAAGCUUUGACAUGGAAGCAGUUGUCUAAUUUUGAUGGUUCGUGGACUCUUCAAAAUCAAGCCUUUUUCAAUUUUGCGUGCUUGGCACAAACCCUUUAAAAAUGUCCAAGAAAUUGCCGCUCCUUUAUGGGAAAUGAACUAGAGAACAUUAUAAUUUGGUGAAGGGAGAUAUCAAGCUGAGCUGGCGUGGUUAUUCGUAAGUUCUCUUUGUUACUUGUAUAUUGAAUUUGGCCUCUCCCUUUAUGUGUGGAUCUAUGCAAGUCCUAAUUGCUGUGCAUUUGCAGUUCAGCUGCCUCGUUUGCUUUAGACGGAGGUGAUUUUGUUGGGAUUCAUGGAAAUGGUGGUCGAGAUGGCAGAGGCAAUGGUGCGGCUGAGGGUGGAGAGUCAAAGUUGCGUUCCUAGGUGGCUAGAGUUGUCUAUUUUCUGAAUUUUUUUUUCUCGAUUCUUCUUCUUUUUUUCAAUUCAAUUUUGUAGAAAAAUUGAUUAAUAACAUAGGCCUCGAAUUUUGUUUUUUAAAAUUUUCUUAUGAGGAAUCAUUUCUUGAAAGCAUCUUUAGUUGUGUUUUCUUUGCCAUAUAUGAGCUUGUGUUUUGAUAUUUUCAUUAAUUUUUCUAAAUAAAUGAACUCUAGACAUUUUAAUUGUUUAUCGAUAUUGCAUCUGAUAAAUAAAAUGGUUGUGAUUCCUGAUUCAUUUAUUUGCCAAUGUGAUAUCCUGAAUUGGGGACUUUUCCCUCAGUUUUUAGAAGUAAUAAGAAAUUGAAAAAUUUAUAUUUUUAGUUGAGCCGGGAUUGUUAGAUUUUGAAUGUUUAGUUGUUCUAUUUCGGAUUAUUCCUACCAAGAGCAAGCACGAUUAGCGCGAUUCUGUUUAAAUGACUUAUGUAAAGGGAUUCUCAUUUUCAAGGAGGGUCUUUUGUCUAUUUCUCUUAUAUUCAUAUUGAAACUAAAGAAGGAAUUUUGUUAACUUCCUCCACUGCAGUGUGUAUUUUAU
rnacentral:lncRNA from 1 species